UCCGGACGGGCGCCUAAUCCCGCCGCCGUGCCGGACGUCCGGUCGACGAGGUGGACCGGCGGGAGCGGAGGACCCGAGCAGGACGGGGCCCCGGCCUACACGGCCGAGGGCUCCUUGGGGUGAAGCCGUACGCACGGCCGGGCAUCUUCGCCUGCCCGAACCCGACAGGUCUUCCUUCGCAGGCGGCUGACGAAGGGUUU
rnacentral:sRNA from 2 species